rnacentral:sRNA from 12 species
UCUUGUUUUAUUUUAUGUUACUAUCUUGGUGCAGACGGGUGAGAACCUGCCAAGAAUCGGAGUAAAUUGUCCGACUCUUUAUAAGGAUACUUUUAAAGAGUAUGAACUUCUUAUUCGUGAGAAAAGAGGGUAGAACUAGUGUUCGAGAAUAAUCCGAUGUGCUGGUUGAUGUGCGCGUAAAUGCUUCCGUGGGGUCGCUCGAAGAAUAGACGCUGCUGUGCAGAAUAAUCUAAGUUAGGUGGGGUGUGAGAAACUUCGCAAACCUUAGAAACUCAAUAAUCGAGUUCGUACUGAUGUAAAAGAAAUUUUACUAUAAAACCUUACAGAGAACAAGUAGCCGAAUUUUGUACGAUGACAAAAAUACAGCGAGUUUAUAAUUAGGUAAUUAUAAAUAUAUGAAACAUAUUGUGGAACUUAGGUGAAAGUUAUGGGUAGUCAUUCCCAUAUAAACUUGUGUGGUUUGUGGGGCCGUUGGCACAAUCAAACCACUAGGGUAAACCGCCAAAAUGUCGCUCGUUUUGGCUCACAUUUAUCUUUUUAUUGGCAGAAUAUAAGCGAAACAUUUUAACUUAGUAAAGCGAAGGCUUAGUAAUAUAGAAUAAAACAA